UCCUAUGACCUCACUCUCAGGAAGUGCCUUCCUUCCUGUCUGUUCAUCUCUGCAAAAUAUUCCUAGCAUGAUGCUGCCAUCUGAUAUACAAUCCCAGCACCCACACACUUUUCCCCAAAGGAAAACAAUGCUGUAUCUCAUCUGGUCCCUGCUCCCAGCUGCAGGUCCAUCUGGAAGUUCCAGGUUCAAUAAGCAAAUAGGCACUAGGACCAAGUCUUAAGACAGCCAUUCCAGCUCCACGGGUUACAGUUGAACCAGUUGCUUCACUAUUGCAUAUUGGCUGAGAUGGUGCUGGAAAAAACAUUGGAAAAAUAAAAACACAAAGGUCACUGGUUUCAUCUCCAAUGGCAAGGACAGAUAUCAACCAAAUAAAAAUAGCGUUAAGUUUAUAGUUGCAAACUAGAGUGAAUUUCUUCAAGGCAAAGAACAUAGUUCUAUGGGAGCCAGUGAUGGAGGAAUCUAUGAUGGAGAAGAUCGUAGGAAGAGUGACAGUGAUGUGUCAUUUCAGAUGUAAAGGAAG